UUUGUACUCCCUCCGUCCGAAAAUACUUGUCAUCAAAAUGGAUAAAAGAAGAUGUAUCUAGAACUAAAAUACAUCUAGAUACAUCCCCUUUAAUCCAUUUUGAUGACAACUAUUUCCGGACGGAGGGAGUAGUAU
rnacentral:pre_miRNA from 1 species